rnacentral:rRNA from 1 species
UACGGGGGGGGCAAGCGUUGCUCGGAAUCACUGGGCGUAAAGGGUGCGUAGGCGGGUCUUUAAGUCCGGGGUGAAAUCCUGGAGCUCAACUCCAGAACUGCCUUUGAUACUGAAGAUCUUGAGUUCGGGAGAGGUGAGUGGAACUGCGAGUGUAGAGGUGAAAUUCGUAGAUAUUCGCAAGAACACCAGUGGCGAAGGCGGCUCACUGGCCCGAUACUGACGCUGAGGCACGAAAGCGUGGGGAGCAAACAGG